AUUAGCUAGUUGGUGAGGUAACGGCUCACCAAGGCCACGAUGCGUAGCCGACCUGAGAGGGUGAUCGGCCACAUUGGAACUGAGACACGGUCCAGACUCCUACGGGAGGCAGCAGUGGGGAAUAUUGCACAAUGGGCGAAAGCCUGAUGCAGCAACGCCGCGUGAGUGAUGACGGCCUUCGGGUUGUAAAGCUCUGUCUUUUGGGACGAUAAUGACGGUACCAAAGGAGGAAGCCACGGCUAACUACGUGCCAGCAGCCGCGGUAAUACGUAGGUGGCAAGCGUUGUCCGGAUUUACUGGGCGUAAAGGAUGCGUAGGUGGAUAUUUAAGUGAGAUGUGAAAUACCCGAGCUUAACUUGGGAACUGCAUUUCAAACUGGGUAUCUAGAGUGCAGGAGAGGUAAGUGGAAUUCCUAGUGUAGCGGUGAAAUGCGUAGAGAUUAGGAAGAACACCAGUGGCGAAGGCGACUUACUGGACUGUAACUGACACUGAGGCAUGAAAGCGUGGGGAGCAAACAGGAUUAGAUACCCUGGUAGUCCACGCCGU
rnacentral:rRNA from 1 species